CCCAACCAACAUUUUGGCGCUAAUUUUCACCACUCUAAUCGUUUGUAUUGUUUUAACGGGUAUAUAAAAGUGUCUAGUAAAACUUUUGUUGGUUUAAUGGUCAUGAAUAUAACUAAAUAACUCAUUAAGAUGAGUAACAGUAACAAUAAUUCAUAAUAUAACUUAAGAAGUUAUAAAAGAGUUAAGCUGAACCACAGUAACGCUAGGUGUUGUAACCUCAAGUAACAAUAAGUACCUCAAGUAGUAAUAAGGUUUCUAGUAAGUCUUACUAUUCCCAAGUGUUGUUUAAGAGUGCUAAGUAAAUGUUUUUUACCACUUAGCUUGCCUAAAAACGUAAUAUUACUUAAGAAGGUAUGAAGGUUAUAGUCACAACCAUCAUAGAACUUACUCUUAUAUAAAUUCAAGUAACGCGAAACACUUAAAGUAAUAUUAUAGUUUCUAAUAACUCUUUCUACCGACAAAAGCUCUUGAAAAUAGUUGACAAAAUAUUUUUAUCACCUAAAUUGCUACAAAAGAAGUAAUUGGAACUUAUUUACAGCAAUUUAAUUUAGAAAUUAGAAACCACUAUAUAUGAUAUUAGUUGGUAUUAUGGAGUUAUUUUUAGAGCCCUGUUCUUUACAACGGUGUUCGAAUUUACCUUUAUGUUAUUCUAAGAAAUAUGAAAAUACAAUUUAAACGUUGUAACUUUUAUUUUCACUUGAAGUUAUAAAAUAUUACCUACUUUAUAGCUGUAUAAUGUCUCUAACCUCAAAAUUGUGUAUAGUCUGAUUUGCUCUGAAGUCUGUUUGCUCUUGCUUGCUUAAUUUUUGCUAUGAGUUCGUGGAAAAAACGAAAAAGAUGUGGAGGAGUCAAAAGAAAAAUAUCAAACGAAUACAAAUUAAUAAUCAGAUCAAAUCAAUCAGUGUCAUCCUGCGAUAAAACCACCAAACUGCAAACAGUGACCAGUAUCAGUGAUGCAGUUCAGCAUCAUAGUUCUUCGUUGAAGAGAAGUAUUGAUGACGCUAGUCUGGGUUGUAGUAGUUUUUGCAACGAAUAUUUUCAUCCAGCGCAGCUUAAAUGUCAACGAAAAUGUUCGUACUGUCGUAGAAACUCCAUCGAAAAUGUCGGUCAAGUGCGGGAAUUUCAACAAGGACUAGAAAAUCAUAAUAUGUAUGUGAGCAGUAAACAUGGUGAAACGCAAGAUAUUGAACAGGGUUCUGUAAGUGAGCAUUUUAUAAUUUCUUGUAAAGAGAGGAAUAAAUAUUUUCUAUCAUCAACUGAUGAUAUUAUUGAAGUCCUAAAUAUAUCAAUUAUAUCGACAAUGACAAAUAGAGAAACUAUUAUGAUACAAAUAGGAGGAGAUGCUAUCGAAUAUGUAGAUCACUACGUAUAUUUAGGGCAAAUAAUAUAAUUUCAUGACCAAAGGGAUCUUGAGAUAGAAAGAAGAGUGUCUAGCGCCUGGAAGAGAUUUUGGUCACUCAAGGAAGUACUUAAAAGUAAAGACUUCCCAAUAGUAGCUAAGAAAAAGGUGUUCAAUCUAUGUAUACUACCAUGUGUUACAUACGGCUGCGAGACUUGGGCUUUAUCUCAGAAACAUCUUCUAAAGUUGAGAACAUGCCAAAGAGGAAUGGAAAGAAGCAUGGUGGGUGUAACACUGAGACAUCGAAAAAGAGCAGAAGAGAUCAGAUCAACGACCAAAGUAGAAGACAUUAUAAAGAAAAUAAGGCAGUUGAAAUGGCGCUGGACUGGGUACAUGACGAGAGAUAGCAGGUUGAAAUGGACAAAAAUAAUUACAGAAUGGCAACCACGUGAUG